GACUAAUGUAUGAGAAGAUAUAAUUUUGUCUUUCAAAGGACCUUUUGAGAUGGGACUAAAUUCUUGCUUUAGCAGAAAUUCCCACAGCCACCCCAACUUGUAGCAACCACCACCCUCAUCAGUCAGCAGCCAUUAACACCGAGCUCACUCUGAUGGAAGCCAGCUGCUAUGUUGUGUGUUGCUCUAUGGAGAGGCUCAGGUAGAAGGAAUUGAAGGAGGCUUUCGGCCAACAGUCAGCAAGGUACUGAGGCUUUCAGUCCAAGAGCCUAUAAGGAACUGAAUCCUACCAGCAACCAAGCAAGUGGCUUGAAAGUGGACCCUCUCUCAGCUGAGUCUUUGAAUAAGAUCACAGCUCUUAUUCAAUAUGACACCUUGAUUGUAGUCUUGUUAGAGAUCUUGAGCCAGUGGCACCCAGCUAAGCUGUACCUGUAUUCCUGACCCAUAAAACCCCACAGAUAAUAAAUGUUUGUCAUUUUAAACUGUGAA